CUGGCGGCGCGCCUACACAUGCAAGUCGAACGAGAAAGGGGAGCAAUCCCUGAGUACAGUGGCGUACGGGUGAGUAACGCGUGGGUAAUCUGCCCUUUGGUGGGGAAUAACCCUGGGAAACCGGGGCUAAUACCGCAUAAGUCCGAGAGGAGAAAGCAGCAAUGCGCCGAAGGAGGAGCCCGCGGCCGAUUAGCUAGUUGGUAGGGUAAAAGCCUACCAAGGCAAAGAUCGGUAGCCGGCCUGAGAGGGCACACGGCCACACUGGCACUGAAACACGGGCCAGACUCCUACGGGAGGCAGCAGUGGGGAAUCUUGCACAAUGGGGGAAACCCUGAUGCAGCGACGCCGCGUGAGCGAUGAAGCCCUUCGGGGUGUAAAGCUCUUUCGGCAGGGAAGAUGAUGACGGUACCUGCAGAAGCAGCUGCGGCUAACUACGUGCCAGCAGCCGCGGUAAUACGUAUGCAGCAAGCGUUGUUCGGAGUUACUGGGCGUAAAGGGUGUGUAUGCGGUUUGGUAAGUCUGGUGUGAAA
rnacentral:rRNA from 1 species